AGAAGGGGUGGUGCCUGGGAGGACCUGCAGAGGAGCUCCCGCAUCUCCUCAGGCCCUUUCUUCUGCGCCAUCUUGUGGCAGUUGAGAGCAGGCCCAGGGCAGAAGGGAGGCAGGGGCAUUAAGAGCUCAGGCCUCCAGCUGAGGGACUGCAGAUGUUGGACUCAUGGAGGCAACCACUCAAGGUCACUCUGAGAAGGGUUGAACGUGCUUUAUUAAAAGGACUGAGGAUCAUGUGUGUUGGUGUGUCCCGGAGUCUGCUCUAAGGAAGCCUCUGAUUAGGGCCCGGAACCAACUUCCUUUUCGCAUCUGCAGACUCAUGGAGGCAACCACUCAAGGCCACUCUGAGAAGGGUUGAACGUGCUUUAAAUUAAAAGGACUGAGGAUCAUGUGUGUUGGUGUGUCCUGGACUCUGCUCUAAGGUAAAUGUGUGUGUGUGUUUGUGUGUGGGGGUUGUGCCUGUAAUCCUGUGUGUGUGACCUCCUUAUUAGAAGAUUUUUGUUCAUUAAAGUAGGAGUGUGAA
rnacentral:lncRNA from 1 species